CUCGGCCUAUUAGUUUCCCUCUCCAGACCAGGAUGCUGGCUGCAACCUAGUCUCAGAGCAUUUCACAAUAUGCUGAGGUCCAGCAUCCCCAGGGGGGCCAAGGGGCCCUGGAGGGCCCUUCAAUCUCUGAGGAUAAACAACCGUACAUACAGUACAUAGACUGGAGCUCUUGAACACUACGAUGGCGGGCAUCCCUGGUGGACCAAUGGGGCCUCGGUAACCUGUGCGUCCAGUCCGGCCCAUCCCGCCAGCGUAGCCCUGUCAGGAGACAAUACACACUUAAGUGUUUUAAGAAAUUCCACAAUAUGGAAACAUCUGCAUACAGACCUGUAUGUCAAUAGGAAUCCACACAGCACACUCUAGAGAUAAUACUGAGCACCCAAUAAUAGUGGGCAACAGAAUUAUCAUAUGUGUCACUAUGAGUAGUUUAGAUUCAGUAGAUAUUGUGUGAAAAAGUUAACACAUACUUUAUCCCCUUUUGGUCCAGGUGGCCCUGUCAAACCAGGUGGGCCCUGAAGUCCCUGGGAAAACAGUCCAUUCCCAUUAGUGUCUGUUUUCAUGUAUGAUGUCAUGUAUGAUGUCUUGUAUGAUGUCUUGUAUGAUGUAUGAUGUCUUGAUACAUGAAGUAAAACUUUUGUA